rnacentral:misc_RNA from 1 species
CGGAUUGUAGUAGUACAAACGGAUAAACCUCAGACCUUUACCAGGGUUUUGAGCAACCUCAAUCUUACCUUCCUCUUUGGCUCUGCCCAAUACAAUUCCAUAUUUAUCAGGUGAACAAACAAGGAAAUUUUAUAUGGCUGCAACAGGCAUGAUCACAGCCCCAAUUUUUGGCUUCUUCUCUGUGAACAGAAGCAACAGAGCUUGUAGAAAGUUCAGCAGCAUAAAUGGGCAAUGUAAUGUUGUAAAGGGGAUGCAGGUAGAAAAGUCUCUCGAGGAAUUGUACAAUGUGAAGGUGGAAAGAAAAGUGUCACCAAAACGAUUGGCAGAGCUUGGAGUCUCUAGAUGGUCAGUUUGGAAGACUGGCAAGUGCAAGUUGCCUUGGGACUGGCAAGUGGACCAGUUAGUUUACAUUGAAGAAGGAGAGGUGAGAGUAGUUCCUGAAGGGAGCGAACGUUACAUGCGGUUUGUGGCUGGCGACUUAGUUCGUUACCCCAAGUGGUUUGAGGCUGAUCUCUUCUUCAAUGCUCCAUACCAGGAGCGUUAUAGUUUCCGAGCAUAUGGUGAUGACUAUUAAUCCCUACAUUGCAUUAGUGAUUGCGUCUCUUUGUCCUGUGUGUCAGCUUUGUUCAAGGGCAUAUGUCCUGUAAUUUUAGUAGUUUAACUCGGAAUUGCAAGCUGAACUGCUACAUUCUGCAAAUAAUUUUGAGUUGCAGUUUCUGUAAAUACCAAGCAGUUUAUUAUCUGCUGUGUUGAAAGACUGUAUCAGAUACCCUCUUUGAACAUUUUUCAGUUUUAAACAUCAACUGGUAUCACUGAGGAAUGUGAAUUCCAA